rnacentral:lncRNA from 1 species
CUAGGACAGGCCUGAAUGCAUGGUGCAAACAUAGGAUUGGGUACAGCCCUCAUCUAGGCUUGAAGGGGCAAGAAAAAUAGGGCUUACCACCAGAAAGGAAAUAACCUUCUAUUUCCCAAUGGAUAGAGAUGUAAAAGUUUAUUGGUUGUGAUUUCCUGAUUACAAAAAUAUUGGAAUAAAUUCAGACGUGGUCAUAGAUCCAAGCAAAACACCUAACUAUUCAUCAGACUGCAUGCAGAUGUAGUUCUGUUCUUAAAUAUUGGACUAAAAUAGUGGAAAACUGAUAUCUCCAGAAGAUGCAUCACACAUAAUCAGUGAUCUUUUCAAGAAAUCAGGAGAAAGUUUAAAAAUGAUAGAUCCAAGCAAACAAAUUCUAGCCAUGUUUUAAAGGAAAAUGAAGAGAUCAAGACAAGAAACAAGCUACGAAAUAUUCAAAAUACUUGAAGAGUUGGAGCAGGAAAACUGUCUCAUCUCCAAAUGAUAUGAAAUCAUAAAGGCCUAGAUUAUGCUGUGCUGAGUCCUACCCUGGAAGUGGAUCCACAGAAAUGAAUAAAAUGAAAGUAAGAGAAUUACUUAAAGACUUCAUUAUUCUUCGCCAGAAGGAUGCAAAAAUCUGGUCUCAAAUAAGGAAAUCUAAAUGGCUUGCAUGGAAGCAUAUGGGUGAAAUUAGUCAAGCAGUCUACACUUGAAGAAGUGACAACCUUGGGACAAGUCUUAGUAGAAAGAUGAUAACUGGAAAAAUCUUCUUUUAAAUUACAUGCUUAUCAGUUUUCUUGGUCCAACUAUUCAGACAUUUCCAAAACAACAGAAGGACACCAAUUAAUGUGUUUCAAACUCUCGUAAUGUUUAGGACUCUGAGACUUCUCUUAUGUAUGAUGUGUAGGCCUUUGGACAGAGAUUCUUAAGCCUACUGGCUUUUGCAUCUAAUAGUUCCUUCUGAGGACCCCCUGACAGACCCAAAAACUACAUCUUAGAGCCACUGCUCCAGCCAAAUAAGCCCCACUGCUGACCAGAGUUCUUUGCAUCCCCCAGAAGCCAAAAAUACUUACUAACAGUUUUCAAUAUAUGUUGUAUAUAUAUAGCAUGUAUAUAU